GACGAACGCUGGCGGCGUGCCUAACACAUGCAAGUUGAGCGACGAACCAGGGCUUGCCCUGGGGCAAAGCAGCGAACGGGUGAGUAACACGUGGGUAACCUACCCCGAUAACCGGGACAACCCGAGGAAACUCGGGCUAAUACCGGAUGUGCUCACUGGACUUCGGUUCAGUGCGUAAAGGAAGCUUCGGCCUCCGUAUCGGGAGGGGCCCGCGGCCCAUUAGUUUGUUGGUGAGGUAACGGCUCACCAAGACCGCGAUGGGUAGCUGGUCUGAGAGGACGAGCAGCCACACUGGGACUGAGACACGGCCCAGACUCCUACGGGAGGCAGCAGUGGGGAAUCUUGCGCAAUGCGCGAAAGCGUGACGCAGCAACGCCGCGUGGGGGAAGAAGGCCUUCGGGUUGUAAACCCCUUUCAGGAGGGACGAAGGUUCGGCGGUGAAUAGCCGUCCGGACUGACGGUACCUCCACAAGAAGCCCCGGCUAACUACGUG
rnacentral:rRNA from 1 species